rnacentral:rRNA from 1 species
CAAUAGCGUAUAUUUAAGUUGCUGCAGUUAAAAAGCUCGUAGUUGGAUUUCGGGUGGGAAUGGCCGGUCCGCCGUUUCGGUGUGCACUUGCUACGCCCACCUUGCUGCCGGGGACGUGCUCUUGAGUUCACGCUCGGGACACGGAGUCGGCGAGGUUACUUUGAGUAAAUUAGAGUGUUCAAAGCAGGCCUACGCUCUGAAUACAUUAGCAUGGAAUAACACGAUAGGACUCUGGCCUAUCUUGUUGGUCUGUAGGACCGGAGUAAUGAUUAAGAGGGACAGUCGGGGGCAUUCGUAUUUCAUUGUCAGAGGUGAAAUUCUUGGAUUUUGAUCAGACGAACUACUGCGAAAGCAUUUACCAGGGAUGUUUUCAUUAA